rnacentral:rRNA from 2 species
CCGUAGGUGAACCUGCGGAGGGAUCAUUACAGAGUUGCAAAACUCCAAACCAUUGUGAACUUACCUUUGCCGUUGCUUCGGCGGGCGGCCCGGGCCCUGUGCCCGGCGCCCCUCGGCCCCACUCGGGGCGCCCGCCGGAGGUAAACCAAACUCUUGAAUUGUAUGGCCUCUCUGAGUCUUCUGUACUGAAUAAGUCAAAACUUUCAACAACGGAUCUCUUGGUUCUGGCAUCGAUGAAGAACGCAGCGAAAUGCGAUAAGUAAUGUGAAUUGCAGAAUUCAGUGAAUCAUCGAAUCUUUGAACGCACAUUGCGCCCGCCAGUAUUCUGGCGGGCAUGCCUGUUCGAGCGUCAUUUCAACCAUCAAGCCCCGGGCUUGUGUUGGGGACCUGCGGCUGCCGCAGGCCCUGAAAACCAGUGGCGGGCUCGCUAGUCACUCCGAGCGUAGUAGUUUACACCUCGCUCAGGGCGUGCUGCGGGUUCCGGCCGUUAAAAGCCUUAUUUUACCCAAGGUUGACCUCGGAUCAGGUAGGAAGACCCGCUGAACUUAAGCAUAUCAAUAAGCGGAGGA